rnacentral:rRNA from 1 species
GGCCUGCCCCAUGAAAAUUUAAAUGGCCGCGGUAUUUUGACCGUGCAAAGGUAGCAUAAUUAUUAGUUUUUUAAUUGAAAGCUGGAAUGAAAGGUUGGAUGAGAAAAUAACCGUCUCUGUUUAAAUUAGUUAGAAUUUUAUUUUUAAGUAAAAAAGCUUAAAUAAUUAUAGAAGACGAGAAGACCCUAUAGAGUUUUAAUUUAGUUGGGGUGAUUGAAAAAUUAAAUUAACUUUUUUUAUAUUUAAACAUUAAUAUAUGAGUGAUUGAUCCUUUAUUUAAGAUUAAAAGAAAAAAUUACCUUAGGGAUAACAGCGUAAUUUUUUUAGAGAGUUCUAAUCGAAAAAAAAGAUUGCGACCUCGAUGUUGGAUUAAAAUUAA